UACAGAGGUCUCAAGCGUUGUUCGGAAUCACUGGGCGUAAAGGGCGUGUAGGCGGUCCGCUAAGUCUGAUGUGAAAGCCCGGGGCUCACCCCCGGAAGUGCAUUGGAAACUGACGGACUCGAGUCCCGGAGAGGAGGGUGGAAUUCCUGGUGUAGCGGUGAAAUGCGUAGAUAUCAGGAAGAACACCCGUGGCGAAGGCGGCUCUCUGGUACGUGACUGACGCUGAGACGCGAAAGCGUGGGGAGCGAACAGG
rnacentral:rRNA from 1 species